AGAGUUUGAUCAUGGCUCAGAUUGAACGCUGGCGGCAGGCUUAACACAUGCAAGUCGAACGAUGAAACUCUAGCUUGCUAGAGAAGAUUAGUGGCGGACGGGUGAGUAACAUUUAGGAAUCUGCCUAGUAAUGGGGGAUAGCUCGGGGAAACUCGAAUUAAUACCGCAUACGACCUACGGGUGAAAGGGGGCGCAAGCUCUUGCUAUUAGAUGAGCCUAAAUCAGAUUAGCUAGUUGGUGGGGUAAAGGCCCACCAAGGCGACGAUCUGUAACUGGUCUGAGAGGAUGAUCAGUCACACCGGAACUGAGACACGGUCCGGACUCCUACGGGAGGCAGCAGUGGGGAAUAUUGGACAAUGGGGGCAACCCUGAUCCAGCCAUGCCGCGUGUGUGAAGAAGGCCUUUUGGUUGUAAAGCACUUUAAGCAGGGAGGAGAGGCUAAUGGUUAAUACCCAUUAGAUUAGACGUUACCUGCAGAAUAAGCACCGGCUAACUCUGUGCCAGCAGCCGCGGUAAUACAGAGGGUGCGAGCGUUAAUCGGAAUUACUGGGCGUAAAGCGAGUGUAGGUGGCUCAUUAAGUCACAUGUGAAAUCCCCGGGCUUAACCUGGGAACUGCAUGUGAUACUGGUGGUGCUAGAAUAUGUGAGAGGGAAGUAGAAUACCAGGUGUAGCGGUGAAAUGCGUAGAGAUCUGGAGGAAUACCGAUGGCGAAGGCAGCUUCCUGGUAUAAUAUUGACACUGAGAUUCGAAAGCGUGGGUAGCAAACGGGAUUAGAUACCCUGGUAGUCCACGCCGUAAACGAUGUCUACUAGCCGUUGGGGUCCUUGAGACUUUAGUGGCGCAGUUAACGCGAUAAGUAGACCGCCUGGGGAGUACGGCCGCAAGGUUAAAACUCAAAUGAAUCGACGGGGGCCCGCACAAGCGGUGGAGCAUGUGGUUUAAUUCGAUGCAACGCGAAGAACCUUACCUGGUCUUGACAUAGUGAGAAUCCUGCAGAGAUGCGGGAGUGCCUUCGGGAAUUCACAUACAGGUGCUGCAUGGCUGUCGUCAGCUCGUGUCGUGAGAUGUUGGGUUAAGUCCCGCAACGAGCGCAACCCUUUUCCUUAUUUGCCAGCGGGUUAAGCCGGGAACUUUAAGGAUACUGCCAGUGACAAACUGGAGGAAGGCGGGGACGACGUCAAGUCAUCAUGGCCCUUACGACCAGGGCUACACACGUGCUACAAUGGUAGGUACAGAGGGUUGCUACACAGCGAUGUGAUGCUAAUCUCAAAAAGCCUAUCGUAGUCCGGAUUGGAGUCUGCAACUCGACUCCAUGAAGUCGGAAUCGCUAGUAAUCGCAGAUCAGAAUGCUGCGGUGAAUACGUUCCCGGGCCUUGUAGA
rnacentral:rRNA from 1 species